AUGUGGUAAGAGUAGAGGAUGGCAGAGAGAUAGCUUGGCUGCACCACUGAUCAUCUAACAAGGUCAGGAGAAAACAAGGAAGACCUCACUGGGUAGACCAUCUGGGUUGAACUUACGAGAAGGUAUCAUUUCAUUGAACUGAUUCUGUUUUUGAAAAGUCAAAAAAAGGAAAGACUAACUAAUGAUGGAAAAUCAUCUAUAAAUUCAACCAGAAGACCUCAAGGUGGGGAUUGCUAGAGAAAGUUGGAACCGUGAGUUCCACCCACAGUUUCUUUGAAAAAGGACCAA